rnacentral:rRNA from 1 species
UACGAAGGGGGCUAGCGUUACUCGGAAUUACUGGGCGUAAAGGGCGCGUAGGCGGCGUUCCAAGUUAGGCGUGAAAGUCCUGGGCUCAACCUGGGAACUGCGCUUAAGACUGGAAUGCUAGAGGAUGGAAGAGGGUUGUGGGAAUUCCCAGUGUAGAGGUGAAAUUCGUAGAUAUUGGGAAGAACACCGGUGGCGAAGGCGGCAACCUGGUCCAUUUCUGACGCUGAGGCGCGAUAGCGUGGGAGCAAACAGG